rnacentral:rRNA from 1 species
UGGGGAAUAUUGGACAAUGGGCGCAAGCCUGAUCCAGCCAUGCCGCGUGAGUGAUGAAGGCCCUAGGGUUGUAAACUCUUUCACCGGUGAAGAUAAUGACGGUAACCGGAGAAGAAGCCCCGGUUAACUUCGGGCCAGCAGCCGCGGUAAUUAGAAGGGGGCCAGCGUUGUUCGGAUUUACUGGGCGUAAAGCGCACGUAGGCGGACUUUUAAGUCAGGGGUGAAAUCCCGGGGCUCAACCCCGGAACUGCCUUUGAUACUGGAAGUCUUGAGUAUGGUAGAGGUGAGUGGAAUUCCGGGUGUAGAGGUGAAAUUCGUAGAUAUUCGGAGGAACACCAGUGGCGAGGGCGGCUCACUGGACCAUUACUGACGCUGAGGUGCGAAAGCGUGGGGAGCAAACAGG